CUGCAGGAAUUAAUAGGAGAACUGCCGAAGGAGACGCCGCUAACACCAGGGGAAGCCAAACCCUCGUUCCGCCGCAGGAUCGGUACGGGCUUCAGUCUGUCUCACAGUGCCGUAGAAGCAAGCGACAAGAACGAGCUGAUGUCCAGACUACACCUGGACCACGAAGUCCAGCAUAAGAUCGUCACCGCGGCCGGUAAUCUGUGCGACGAUCCCAACGCCACCCGCACUAUUCGUCGGCAGCGCAAAGCCUGCUACCAGAGGGCGCACGCAAAGCUGCUGGAUCUGGAGAAGAACAUAGAGGAGACGAAGAAGAAGACGCUCACCGCCUCCUGCUCUCUACCGGCGAUGGGCUCGACUGGUGACC